rnacentral:lncRNA from 1 species
UUCAAAACCAACCCUUGAUUUUGCAUCUCAAACACCAUAUCUAUAGCCUCUUUCAACAUUCCAAUUUCACCGAAAUUCCUUAACAUAAAAUGCAUUACUUCAUGGGUUCUCUCAAAGUUUCCAUUUUUAAUCAAAUACAUAUCUAAAACUAUAUAAAGCCUCAUAAAAUGCCUGAAUUUCGCAUACCCAGUGGUUCUCUCAAAGUUCCCAUUUUUAAUCAGAUACAAUGCUAAAACUAUAUAAAGCCUCAUAAAAUGCCUGAAUUUCACAUCCCCAAUUGCCCAAUAAAAGAAGCU